rnacentral:lncRNA from 10 species
AAGGGAUUUAAAGAAAUGGCAAACUCCUUCCAUCAAGCCCAUUUAGAAGAGCAUCUAAUCCCAUUCAUGAGAGCAAAACCUACAUGACCCAAUCACCUCCUAAAGGCCACACCACUUAGAACUGUUACAUUGGGGAUUAAGUUCAAACAUGAAUUUUAAAGGGGAUAAAAACAUUCUAACCAUAGCACUCUUCCCCUGGAUCCCCAAAUUAGUUUAAUUAAUUAAUUGGAUGAAUUAAUCCAAAAUUAAUUAAUGAGUCCAAAGUCUCAUCUGCACACCAUCUAAAUCAGUUAUGGGUGAGACUCAAAGCUUUGUGUCAUUCACCACAAGGCAAAUUGCUAUCUAGCUGAGAGCCUGUUAAAUCAAGCAAGUUGUGUGCUUCCAAAAUACAAUAGAGGGACAGGCAUAGGAUAGCCAUUUCCAUUCCCAAAAGGAGAAAUUGGAAAAAGAAAUCAGUAAUAGAUCCCUAUAAAGUUCAAAACUCAACAGGGCAAACAUUAAAUCUCAAAGUUUGAGAAUAAUCUUUUUUAACUCCAUGUCCCAUCUUCUGGGUUGGAUACCCACAUCCCUAGGGGGUCCCAUCCCCAGGACUUUGCU